GGUUACUUAGCAGUAGUGGUUAAGAGUGGUAGACUCGUAAUCUGGUGAACUGGGUUCGAUUCCCCGCUUCUCCA